UACGAAGGGGGCUAGCGUUGUUCGGAAUCACUGGGCGUAAAGCGCACGUAGGCGGAUGUGCCAGUCAGGGGUGAAAUCCCGGAGCUCAACUUCGGAACUGCCUCUGAUACAGCACGUCUUGAGUCCGGAAGAGGUGGGUGGAAUUCCUAGUGUAGAGGUGAAAUUCGUAGAUAUCAGGAGGAACACCAAUAGCGAAGGCAGCUCGCUGGGACGUUACUGACACUGAGGCGCGAAAGCGUGGGGAGCGAACAGG
rnacentral:rRNA from 1 species